AUUAGUUAAGUGGGAGUGCUUAGUGUGUGAUUCCAAACUCAACCGCAGCCAACCCCAAAAGUGAACAAAAGAAGGAUUCUCAGCACCAGUUUCACCAGAUCAGCAGUUAUGCAGAUCCCCGAAGAUCUGAGACAAAUGAAACUCCUACUGGCCUACUAAGUCCCAACAUAUUGAGUGUACAACACAUUAAUAGACACAAACGGGGCACAUUCACACUUCUCUCAUAAUCCCACCAUAGCCGUAAUCAACGACGCCUUUCUGCGCUAAGUUGGAAUUUUGCUGUGGCAUUUGCUGCUGAUACCACACACUACGCUAAUGCCCUUUAAAAUUUCAAAUAAAAGCAUAGUUCUUACCGUC